ensembl:lncRNA
GUCUGAAUGGUUCCAGUUCAGCUCCAUAACAGCAGCGUCCCUGGUUUGAUUCCUGUGUUUCAGCUCAUAUCUGCCUCUCUCACUGAGGGGGACGUCCACUACAUGGACAUAGAGCAGUUCUGUCCUCUGUACUGAUUUAAAAGCUGGUGCUCAGAGGAAGAGGGCGGGCUUUACUUGGUGUCAGUGAGAGAAAUGAAAAAAAGCUCAAAUGAGUGAGAAGGACGAUGAAGGAAACAUCUGUGCUGUGUCUGCUCUAGGAGGAUUCAGCUGCAGUCAACUCAACAGUGAGAACUGAAGACUUCAGUUAUGGACAAACAGCCAUCAGAACAAGGAGGCCCAGACUUUAAACCAGAGCCAGACGUCGUCUACUCUUCACUGAAGUAGUCCACCAGUCCAACCACAAAUGUCCAGCUGCUGGUCUCUAACUGGUCCCCCAGCACCUCAGACCAGAGGACAUCCACAUGAUCAAAAUAUUUUUUUUUUUCGCUAAAUUGAACUAAAUAAAAAAGAUCUUAUACUUAAGUGUAAAGGUGAAAUUUAUAUGUGAAUAAAAUACAAAUUAAAUACAAAUAUUUUUUUGUGUAUUAUUUGAUGUCCUCAGUGACUUUGAUGAUAUUCUACUUAGGAUUCAUAAAUGUUUUCUCAUGUGGUUUUGUGGGUUUCACUGAAGUGUGAGAUGGAAAGUUUGACUUGCUUGCAUUUGGUUGUGGCUAACCUAUCUUUGCUUAAGAAAUAAAGAUUACACAUAAACUUCACAGAAAUGCUUCAGAACAGCAUGUGUGAGUUUG